AUUGAACGCUGGCGGAAUGCUUUACACAUGCAAGUCGAACGGCAGCACGGACUUCGGUCUGGUGGCGAGUGGCGAACGGGUGAGUAAUGCAUCGGAACGUGCCCAAUCGUGGGGGAUAACGUAGCGAAAGUUACGCUAAUACCGCAUACGAUCUAAGGAUGAAAGCGGGGGAUCGCAAGACCUCGCGCAAAUGGAGCGGCCGAUGUUAGAUUAGGUAGCUGGUGGGGUAAAGGAUCACCAAGCCGACGAUUUAUAGCUGGUCUGAGUGGAUGAUCAGGCACACUGGGACUGAGACGCGGCCCAGACUCCUACGGGAGGCAGCAGUGGGGAAUUUUGGACAAUGGGCGCAAGCCUGAUCCAGCCAUUCCGCGUGCAGGAUGAAGGCCCUCGGGUUGUAAACUGCUUUUGUACAAAACGAAAAGCUCUGGGUUAAUACCCUGGGGUCAUGACGGUACUGUAAGAAUAAGCACCGGCUAACUACGUGCCAGCCGCCGCGGUAAAAC
rnacentral:rRNA from 1 species